rnacentral:rRNA from 1 species
UUGACGGUACCCUACUAGAAAGGAGCCGCUAACUUCGUGCCAGAAGCGUCGGUAAUACGGGGGCUCCAAGCGUUAUCCGGUGUUAUUGGGCGUAAAGAGUCGUGUAGGUGGUUGGGUAAGUUAUCUUUCAAAUAUCUUUGCUUAACAAAGAGGAGGGGGAUAAUACUGCUCGACUAGAAUUUUCUCAAGGGAGAUCGGAACUGAGGGAGGAGUAGUGAAAUGCGUUGAUACCCUCGGGAACACCAGUGGCGUAGGCGGAUCUCUGGGAGAAGAUUGACACUGAGACACGAAAGCUAGGGGAGCGAAGCAGAUUAGAGACCUGCGUAGUCCUAGCCGUAAACGCAUGCUUGCUAGCUGCAUGAAUCUACCUUCGGGUGGUAUCGUGUGGCGAAGGUAACCCGUUAAGCAAGCCGCCUGGAAAGUACGGCCGCAAGGCUGAAAUUCAAAGGAAUUGGCGGGGAGGCACACAACCAGUGGAACAUGUGGUUUAAUUCGAGACUAACCGAAGAACCUCACCAGGGUUUGACAUGUAGCUGCACGUCUUAAGAAAUUAAGACUCUCUUGAAGGCGCUACACAGGUGCUGCAUGGCUGUCGUCAGCUCGUUCCGUGAGGAGUGCCCUUAAGUGGGACAACGAGCGCAACCCCUAUUACAUGUUAGAAAUGUCAUGUAAGACUGCCUUGCCAUUUGGCGGGGAGGAAGGAGGGGCAGACGUCAAGUCCGCAUGGUCCUUAUGCCCUGGGCUACACACAUGUUACAAUGAGUACGGCAAUGAGUCUGUCGCGAGCACGUAAGUGUAAGCUAAUCUCUUAAAUGUACUCUCAGUGGGGAUUGAGGUCUGCAACUCGACCUCAUGAACACGGAAUUGGUAGUAAUCGCGGGUCAGCUAUACCGCGGUGAUACGUCCUUGCCUCUUGCACACACCGCCCGUCAAACCAGCAAAGU